UACGGGGGGGGCAAGCGUUGUUCGGAAUUACUGGGCGUAAAGGGCUCGUAGGCGGCCAACUAAGUCGGACGUGAAAUCCCCAGGCUCAACCUGGGAACUGCGUCCGAUACUGGAUGGCUUGAAUUCGGGAGAGGGAUGCAGAAUUCCAGGUGUAGCGGUGAAAUGCGUAGAUAUCUGGAGGAAUACCGGUGGCGAAGGCGGCAUCCUGGACCGACAUGGACGCUGAGGAGCGAAAGCUAGGGGAGCAAACGGG
rnacentral:rRNA from 1 species